UCGAACCCUGCAAAGCAGAACGACCCGUGAACAUGUAACAACAGCUUGUGUUGGGUGUAUCGAGCAUUUGUUUGAGCCACCUGGUGCUUUGCCAAUGYGCAUUCAUUUGUGCCUUUUUGGUACUCGUGGAUGUUGCAAAGGCACACUAACAAACCCCGGCACGGAAUGUGCCAAGGAAAACUAAACUUAAGAAGGGCUCUUCCUAUGUUGCCCCGUUYGCGGUGCGCUCAUUGGAUGUGGCUUCUUUGUAAWUAC
rnacentral:misc_RNA from 1 species